rnacentral:rRNA from 1 species
UACGUAGGUGGCAAGCGUUAUCCGGAUUUAUUGGGCGUAAAGAGAACGCAGGCGGUCUUUUAAGUCUGAUGUGAAAGCCUUCGGCUUAACCGGAGUAGUGCAUCGGAAACUGGGAGACUUGAGUGCAGAAGAGGAGAGUGGAACUCCAUGUGUAGCGGUGAAAUGCGUAGAUAUAUGGAAGAACACCAGUGGCGAAAGCGGCUCUCUGGUCUGUAACUGACGCUGAGGUUCGAAAGCGUGGGUAGCAAACAGG